GCGCUGGUGGCGGAACUGGUAGACGCGUAUGUUUGAGGGGCAUAUCCGAGUUUUAUUGGGUGCAGGUUCAAGUCCUGUCCGGCGCA
rnacentral:tRNA from 1 species